UCGAUUGGUCGAGAAUAAUACUGUAGAGCAUUCUUUCUAACACCUUUAUUAUAUGUAACUACGUUUUUUGAUCAAAUUUAUCACCGUAUCUUGACGAUGAUUCAAACACUUACUAUAAUUUCUUUUGGAAAACAAACUGCAAAUAUUUAAUUGGAGAAACUUUCCGUUUGUGUGCAUUUAACAUUAUAAACACAUUUUGUGGAUCACAAAUUUGAAGAGACAAUUGAUUGAAAGAUCUCUAAAAUCAGGCAGCUCCGAUAAGCACGAUGGCAUUUCAAAGAAUUAAUAAUGUGCCACAAAAAAUCGCCGAGAAAUUGUACCUGAACCCGGAAAUAGCCGACGUUAACUUUAUCAUUAAAGUCCACGCCAAGCAUACUGAAAGCGUUCCAGCUCACAAAAUCAUUCUCUCCUGCGAAAGCCCGGUCUUUAAAGCAAUGUUUUAUGGCCCGAUAAAGG